AGAGCAGGCAGAUGCCUGCCAGGGCCAGGGAGAGCUUUCUGAGAGGGUGGUGAGAGACUGGAGAGGUGGGAGAGGGGUAGCUAUGAAAGGAAAAUGUGUGGAGGUGACAUGGUCUGUAGGUUGGGCCAGGCCAGAAGAGAAGGUCAAAGAGAAAUGAGUGUUCCAGUCAGGCUUGAUGUCUUAGGGAAGAUCCUGGGGCCCAGCCCACUGCCCCCUCCUCUCCGUCUCUCCUGCUCCCGGGGCUGAGGGAAUGGAAGGAGCUGUGCCACUGUGAGGAGGAGGACCUGCAUCUGUGAGGGGCCUGCUGGGACCAGCUGCUGGGGAGUACAGCUUUCUCUCAGUAGCUGAAGGGGGCUGCCUCUUUUCCAAGGGGCAGCUGCCACGCCACCGCAGGAAAAUCUGGCUUGCCAUUUUGGAUACCUGGAUUUUCCCACAGUGUGAGGGGGCUGGGGGUGUGGCCCAGGAAGGUGCACCUGAGGUGGGAGAAGAAAGAAGAAGACUGGAUGGGAGUCAGCUGAAUUGGGGGCCGCAGAGGCUGGGGUGAGAGGGAGGGAAGGAGGUGUCAAAGCUCAGCCUCCCAAAGCUGAGCGAGAAGAGCAUGACGGGAGGGUGUUUCCCACCUCCUCGCCCACUCCAGCGCAGGGUCCUGUCUCCGUCCAAACGCUGCAAGCCUUUCCACAUUCCUGCACUACCUUCCUGCGCUGCCUUUGGAGAUCUGAGAGUCUUCAGGCAUGAACUCUGGGAAGUGAUGGAUGAUGCACACACAAAAGACCCACACCUAUGAGUCUACUCAGAUGAAGACACAACCCCACCCACCCCAGUUUUGCAGGGAAGUAAAGCAAUACAAUAAUUCAUGUGGAGUAGGAGUGGCGGCCACUUCCUGCUGGCUGUGGUGGCCAGUUGUUUGCAACAGUCUGUGCACUGGCUGUCUCCUCACCCUUCCUUCCCACUCAGGAAUGCCUAUUGCAAUGCAAGGAAAUCAGAAUGACAUUAUUAAGGAUGUAGACUUGAAUUGUUUCUAAUUUAUUUAUUUAUUUUGAGACAGGGUCUCACUCUGCUGCCCGGGCUGGAAUGCAAUGGUGUGAUCUCGACUCACUGCAACCUCUGCCUCCUGGGCUCAAGCAACCCUCCUGCCUCAGCCUCCCAAGUAGCUGGGACUGCAGCCGUGUGCCACCACCACACCCAGCUAAUUUUUGUCUUUUUGUAGAGACAGGGUCUCACCAUGUUGACCAGGCUGGUCUCAAACCCCUGAGCUUAAGUGAUCCACCUGCCUCAGCCUCCUGAAGUCCUGGGAUUACAGGUGUGAGCCACCGUGCCCAGCUCUAAUUUAUUUUUAAAAGGUGAAUUGCUCCAGAAGUGUUUUGAACAUUCUUAGCAACAGCAAUUCUCUUUCUUCACCUUUACACCUGACUGGGGUAGGCCUGGUUGUCAUGACAUCACUGUGGAAAGCAACCACCUGGGGGACUGCUUGGUGAUCAGUCAAGCCUUCAGCUGACCAGCUUUCCCUUCUAUGGUCUGGAGCACCACAGGGCAGGGACAGGAGAGCACCAAUUCUUCAAUGUGAACAGAACUCUCCGACAUCAUCAGAAGGGAUGUCUGCCGGUUUUGCCUCCCCAAGCAUCCUUUCUGCCUUUUUCUGCUCGCAGCAUCUUGCUUCCCUUCUGGGAGUGCCUACUGCCUGUUCCAUUGCACUAAUGUCUGCCCUCUCCAAAGCUUAGGCAUGUGACCCAAUCAGACUAGAGUGUCUUUCCUGAGAACCCAGGGUUGUGGCCCCGGCAACAAGAUAGAUAGCAGUUAGGUCAGAGUGCUCUUGACCCAUGAAUUCUUACUACUCUGAAUUUUGAGCAGGGUUUACAUAAAUAAUAAAUUAGAGCAAGCUCAAAGUUAGCCCUAAAAUACUGUCACUUUCUCUUGAUUUUAAUAUACUUUCUUGAAGAGGUGAGAGAAAGCUUGCACUAUCCCUAAUAGGUAGGAAAUUGUAUGUCACCUGCAUGAUAGCUGUGGCCUGGGGUCCUGUCCUUCCAAAGCAUGGCUGUCCAAAUCUUCCAGUUUAGGAAUCUAAACUGGAAAAUGUAGCCACUGCGCAGCACUGCCUUCAUACCAUCCAGAAACCAGAUAUUUCCUUUUUCCUUAAAGUGCCCCAGGAAUAGAGUUACUAGAUUUAAUAAAUACAAAUACAGGAUACCCGGUUACAUUCGAAUUUUAGAUAAACAUAAAUGAAUACUUUUUUUAGUGUAAUUAUGUCCCAUGCAAUAUUUGGGCAUCCUGUAUUAUGUCUGGCAACCCUACUCAGGGAAGAAAAUGAUGUUUCGUCUCUUGGGGUUGACUUACAAACACUCACCCUCCUUUACCCGAUUCUGCUGUCCCUUCUCCCCCACAAGCAAAUGGCUUCUGUAAGAGUGGCCGUAUUAUUCGCCAGAUGGUUCGACCAAGGGUUACAUCUGACAAAAGAUGGACCAACCAGUGCAGCUUCCUAAGAAUUUUUCAAACAGUAAGAAAGAAUUAAGUGCUUUCAGGUGUUGGAGUUUGAGACAUUAAGCUCAGGGACUGGUGGCAGCCUUGAUUUCCAACACAUGGACAGGACUGGCCUCUAUUGAGAGAGAAUGAGGUAGACGCGCAGGCGGAAGCAGAGAGUGCUGACAGUGUUCAAAUAUUAAAUUCCAGUUGUUCUUGAGGGGCUCCUUGCCUUUGCCAUGUUUCUUUUUUCUUUUCUUUUUUUUUUUGAGACAGAGUCUCACUCUGUCUCCCACGCUAGAGUGCAGUGGUGCGAUCUCGGCUUGCUGCAACCUCCGCCUCCCUGGUUCAAGCAAUUCUCCUGCCUCAGCCUCCCAAGUAGCUGGGAUUACAGGUGCAUACCACUAUGCCUGGCUAAUUUUUGUAUUUUUAGCAGAGAUGGGGUUUCACCAUGUUGGUCAAGUUGGUCUUGAACUCCUGACCUCAGGUGAUCCACCCUCCUCGGCCUCCCAAAGUGCUGGGAUUACAGGUGUCAGCCACCAAGCCCGGCCUGCCUUGUUUUCAUAAACUAAAAAUAAAAUCCUAAGCCCCCCAACCAACUAAAUGGACCCCCUCUUGCCCAGGUGACCCCAGAGAAACCUGAAAAACUGAGUUCUUGGCCAUGAGGGGAGGGAGGUUGGACACACCUCAUUAUACCCUCUCCCUUUUGGAGUUUAGGCACAACUGGCCAGCAUUAAUGCUAAAACAGAGAUCAUAAGACUAAUAAAAUGGACUCUUCGUGACAAUAAGAUACCGAAUUAUAAACAGGACCUAAGGCCAUGCCAGACAAGGGGUAAUUCACACACUCCUACAGGUUGCUGCAGCCCAGUGUAUUGGUUAAUAGAAUUCCUUAUCUUAAAACAUUCCUUUCUGCUGACUCCAGAUUUUUAAACAGAGCUUUACUCCUUUAGCCAAUGGCAAAUUAAAGAAUCUCUGAAUCCACCUAUAACCUGUAAGCUCCCCCACUUCAAGAUAUCCGCCUUUGCAGGCUGAACCAAUGUAUACAUUCCAUGUAUUGAUUUAUGACUUUGCCUGCAAGUCCUGCCUCCCUAAAAUGUAUAAAACCAAACUGUAGGCCGGGCGUGGUGGCUCACACCUAUAAUCCCAGCACUUUGGGAGGCCGAGGCGAGCAGAUCACGAGGUCAAGGGAUCGAGACCAUCCUGGCCAACAUGGUGAAACCCCAUCUCUACUAAAAAUACAAAAAAAAAAUUAGCCGGGUGUGGUGGCAUGUGCCUGUGAUCCCAGCUACUUGGGAGGCUGAGGGAGGAGAACCACUUGAACUCGGGAAGUGGAGCGAGCUGAGAUUGCUCCACUGCACUGCACUUCAGCCUGGCAGCAGAGCGAGACUCCGUCUCAAAAAAAAAAAAAAACAAAAAAAACCUGUAAUCCCCAACUGCUUCCCGUGCACUAUCUUGGACCUCUUGAGACUGUGUUCCUGGGCCAUGUUCAUUCAUAUUGGCUCAGAAUAAACCUCUUUAAAAUAUUUAGAGCCUGGUUUUUGGAUUAACAUUUUGAUUAUUUAUGCUUUUUUAGUUUACAUGAACUACUAAGUUCUUUUUGCCCAAGGGUUGAAACCAAAUACAAGUCGCAACACUUUAUCAUAUUGGAGUCAGCUGUUAAGUUUCUGUUCCCAAGAUGUGAGGAGGAGCAGUGUCUUACUCAUCUUGGUCUCCUCAGCAUCUAACCCAGCAACUGGCAUAGAGUAGGACCUCAAUCAUGUUUUCAAAAAAUUAAUAAAUGACUCCCUGGGCAUGGAGAUGAGCAAUGUAGUGCACAUUUGACUGAUCUGAUUUCUUCUUUUUUAAAUCAUGAAUGUAUUUCUUUUUAAUUAUUUUCGUAGAGACAAGGACUUGCUAUGUUGCCCAGGGUGGUCUUGAACUCCUGGUCUCAAGUGAUCCUCCCACCUUGGCCUCCCAAAGUGUGGGGAUUACAGACGUGAGCCACCAUGCCCAGCCAUGAUUUGAUUUCUUGACAGAAACUCACCAAACAUCAGGAAUCUUUUCCACCAGCUCACUGGAAAAUCCUGAAACUUAGAGAAUCUCUCACUCCACAGCUGGCCGGAAUGGAAGGCAAGGUUGUGGUUGGGUUACUGGUUUUUGCCCAGGUAGGAAAGUAAGGGAGCCUUUAUGAUAAGGAUCAUGGUCGCUGAAACAACCAUGGUUGCUUCAAAAGUAGCCUCCUUGCAUUAUGCAGUUUUUUUAAAAAAAACUUUAUUUUUAGUUAUUUCUUAGAGACAGGAUCUCACUCUGUUGCUCAGGCUGGAGUGUAGUGGCAUGACUAUAUCUCACUGCCUCCUUGAACUCCUGGGCUCAAGUGAUACUCCUGCCUCAGCCUCCCAAGUAGUCGGGACCACAGGCACACACCACCAUGCCCAGCUCAUUUUCAAGUUUUUUGUAGAGACAGGGUUCUGCUAUGUUACCUAGGCUAGUCUUGAACUCCUAGGCUCAAGGGAUUCCUCUGCCUUAGCUUUCCAAAGUGCUGGAAUUACAGGUGUGAACCAUUGCACGUGGCCUGUGCAGUUGUUUUGAUUUCCUUUCUAAACAGAUGAGAAUGAAAUAUGAGCAAAUCCUGUUGGGUCCUUCUAAAGAGGCUCUGGGAAGAUGGCACUGGCUCUGUUUGUCUAUGCCCAGGACAGCUCCUGGAGAGCAGUGGGGAAGCACAGGAAAGGGUCCCUGCAAGGCAUGCUCAAGGUGGUGCUGUCAAGAACAGUGGAACUUGGCUGGGUGCAAUGGCUCACGCCUGUAAUCCCAGCACUUUGGGAGGCCGAGGUGGGUGGAUCUCCUGAGGUCAGGAGUUCGAGACCAGCCUGGCCAACAUGGUGAAACCCCAUCUCUACUAAAAAUAAAAAUACAAAAAUUAGCUGGGCAUGAUGGUGGGCGCCUGUAAUCCCAGCUACCUGGGAAGCCGAGGCAGAAGAAUCACUUGAACCCGGGAGGUGGAGGUUGCAGUGAGCUGAGAUAGCGCCACUGCACUCCAGCCUGGGCAACAAGAGUGAAACUCUGUCUCAAAAAACAAAACAAAACAAAAACAAAUUCCAGCAUGUCCUGCCUGGCCUUUGUCCUGUCAUCCCCAUUACCCUGACUCAGUAUUCUCAAAAGCCUGGAAUAUAGUUGCCUUCUAGUCUCAGGUUACACCAGAGCGGGGCACCUGGAUGCAUAGCACUCCUCCACCCCACCCCCACCCCAUAGACUUUCAGGAAAGAGGAGUCAGCUUUCAGCAGGACUGCCAACCUGUCUGGAAGGAGGGAGGACAGCAAGCUCUGUAGCAUCCCUAGAGAGUGGUUGCCCAGUCUCCCAAACUGCAGGGAGACAGCUCUCUCUCUCUCUCUUUGCCAGAGGAAGAAUGAACUUCUGUCACCCUCUGCACUCAAGGAACUCCAUCACCUCUAAAUUAUUUGUGUCAACCACUGAAGUCCAAGGAGAAUUUCAGAGCUGGGAGAAUUUGUUUGUAUUUUCACAAUUUAUAAUGCUCUUUUUGUCAGACCAAUUUGCCAAUACAAAAGGAUGGCCUAACAUACCAUUAUGGAGAGAGGAAACACAACAAGCAAACUAAAGCUUUUGCAACAUCAAAGUGAAUAUUAUCUUUGGCAAAAUGUAAGAGAGAUGUGGGGAAAUAAAGGCUGCUGGGAAGGUUCUGUUACUAAGGGGUUUGUCAGCUGAUCCCCGAGGCCCCUUUUGGCUCUGAAGUUCUGGAGAAUUAGAUUCUUUCCUACAUUUAUUCUGCUUUCUCUGUCCUUUUAUCGCAUGUGUUUAUUUCACCAGCUUUGUUUCUUCUAUGCUCAUCACAUUUGCAUGCUGAUUUUUCUAACAAUGAUAAGGAAAGUCUCUCUCUGAACGGAAAUUUUGAUAGCACAAUGGGUGGACAGGACAGUUGUGAUUUGUAGAAAUGUUUCCUCACAGCUAUCUUACCUGCAUGAAUAUUCUUGCUGGGACUUCCUAGGGAGUGUGUCUUCUUGUCUUCUGUUCCUUGAAUAAUAACCUGAUCAUUUACUGACAUGUUGACCUAAAAAUAAAUUCCAUAUCACUUCUCUCUCUCAUUAAUGAUGUGUCAACUGUUAUGCUACGAGAUGCAAAUAUGUUAUCUCAUUUAAAAUUCCUUUUUUUUUUUUUUUAACCAAGUCUCACUCUGUUGCCGAGGCUGGAGUGCAGUGUCGCCAUCUCGGCUCACUGCAACCUCCGCCUCCCAGCUUCAAGUGAUUUUCGUGCCUCAGCCUCCUGAGAUUACAGGUGAUCACCACCACGCCCAGCUAAUUUUUUGUAUUUUUAGUAGAGACGAGGUUUCACCAUGUUGGCCAGGCUGGUCUCAAACUCCUGACCUCAAGUGAUCCGCCCGCCUUGGCCUCGCAAAGUGCUGGGAUUACAGGCAUAAGCCACCACGCCCAGCCUCAUUUAAGAUUCUUUACAAACCUUUUGGGACAUAUAAUUCUCAUGUGACAGAUGAAGAAAGUGAGUCCUAAUGAGAUUAAGAAACUUGAUGCUGUCACACAGCUG
rnacentral:lncRNA from 10 species